rnacentral:lncRNA from 1 species
CUUUCCUGCCCAGAUUCACUAUGCAAAAAAAGAAAAAAUUACCAGAAUCAUCUGGGCAUCCCUGGUUAAUGGUCACCAAUUCCUUCCAAACGUGUAUCUCCCACAAGAAAAGACAAAUGGGGAAGAGCUUCCUACUGGAAAUUGAUUAAGAAGGCAAAGAACAUGCUGAAUCGUUGGCUGGAACUUGUCACUGGGAUUAGAGAGAGUGCCUUGUGUCUUUACCUACUCAGACAUUUACAGCACAAAUGGAACCUUAGGAAGAGGAGGAAGCAGCUUUGGUUGGAUAUAGUGAUCCUCGUGCUGAAGAGGACCCGCCACGGGCUUCAAGGUCUUACUUGGAAGAGGUUGUGGCAAUUUAUAAUUAUACAAAAGACAAGGAAGAUGAGCUAUCCUUUCAGGAAGAGCCAUUAUUUAUGUCAUCCAAAAGAAAACGAUGGUUGAUAUGAGGGAGUUCUGAUGCAGUGACUAGGCUCUUUCCUGCGAAUUAUGCUGAGUCUGUCAUGCAUUGUCCUGAGUAAAGCUCAGCAGGGGAUAAUCGGGUCUUCCAAGAUUGUUAAAAGGCCCUGGGGAUUCCCCCCCCCUGGUGAAAUGAAUGAAAGACACGAAUGAUGAAAACUACUUUUUUUUUUGGUUUAUCCCCCUGUAUCAAAACAAACAAAAAAGCAAGCGGAGUCUGAAC